GACGAACGCUGGCGGCGUGCUUAACACAUGCAAGUCGAACGGAAAGGCCCUGCGUUUGUGUGGUGCUCGAGUGGCGAACGGGUGAGUAACACGUGAGUAACCUGCCCUUGACUUUGGGAUAACUUCAGGAAACUGGGGCUAAUACCGGAUAGGAGCUCCUGCUGCAUGGUGGGGGUUGGAAAGUUUCGGCGGUUGGGGAUGGACUCGCGGCUUAUCGGCUGGUUGGUGGGGUAGUGGCUUACCAAGGCUUUGACGGGUAGCCGGGCUGAGAGGGUGACCGGCCACCUUGGGACUGAGAUACGGCACAGACUCCUACGGGAGGCAGCAGUGGGGAAUAUUGCACGAUGGGCGGAAGCCUGAUGCAGCAACGCCGCGUGCGGGAUGACGGCCUUCGGGUUGUAAAACGCUUUCGCCUGUGACGAAGCGUGAGUGACGGUAAUGGGUAAAGAAGCACCGGCUAACUACGUG
rnacentral:rRNA from 1 species